AAGGCUGAAAUUCGCCUUCAUGAAGCCGGAAUUGCUAGUAAUGGCAGGUCAGCAUACUGCCGUGAAUACGUUCCCCGGGGCCCUUGUACACACCGCCCGUCACACCAUGAGAGUUGGGAAUACCCGAAGCCUGUGAGCUAACUUUUAGAGGCAGCAGUCGAAGGUAGAAUCAAUGAUUGGGGUGAAGUCGUAACAAGGUAGC
rnacentral:rRNA from 1 species